CAAUCAGUAAUCCCUCCUCUCUCUCUCUCUCUCUCUCUCUCUCUCUCUCUCUCUCACCACGACUGCAGAAGACUCUGAACCCACCCGUAAGUAAGUACUAAGGAGAGUGAGGAUUCGACUCAGAGAAGAGUGGGAAUUCAAUCUCGUUGAGCAAUAAUCAACAGAAAGAGUAGACAGGCCUGGCUGCUUAUUUAAAUGAGGUUUGGUUUUGUAAUUGUCGAGGUGGUGCCGGUGUCAUGCAAAUAUUGAUGCAAUACAGUCCACAAGUACAACAUGGCUUUGAGAGCAGCAAAUGCAAAGCUUUGCACAUCUCUUCUUCCUGUACCUUGUUGUCUCCUGCAGCAUCGCUCCUGUCACUUGAUCACUUCAUCUCAAAUGCUCCAAGAAACCAUAAGAAAUACGGUUGAAGCCAAAGCAUACGAGAAGAUACCUGAUCUCCUCAUUUCCUCUGCCCAAGCAUGCCAAAAGCCCAAUCCUUUCUCAUUCCUUUCAACCUAUCCCAACAACCUUAGAACACAAGUCGUUGAUCAAAUUUUGCAGUCUUUCAUCCCUCUAAGGCCUCGUUCUAGAGCGCAGAUUACUUAUUCCUGCCUCCUUUCAUUUACACUCCAAAGCUCCAAUCCCUUCCCUCUUGCUCUUGCCAUUCUCCAACGAACUCUUCGCUCUGGCUGCGUCCCUGUCCCCCAAACCCUUCUUCUCCUCUCUUCUGCUUGGAUGAACUGCCGGAAAGAAUCUCUGUCUCUGUGUGAGAUCUUAUUGGAUAUGCAGUCAAUUGGAUAUCAUCCUGACUGUGGAGUGUGCAAUUACCUGAUAUCUUCUUUGUGUUCUGUUGAUCAGUUGAAUGAGGCGGUUAAACUCUUAAAGGGUAUGAGUAGGGUAGGAUGUAUUCCUGAUUUGGAGAGUUUUGACACAGUAAUUGGUGCAAUGUGCACUGUCAGAAGAACAGCCGAGGCAGUAGAUGUGAUUAAGCAAAUGGUGGAGAAAGUUGGGUUGACUCCAAGGCAGGGGACGGUUAUGAAAGUGGCAGCAGCAUUGCGAGCAAACAAAGAGAUAUGGAGAGCGGUUGAGAUGAUUGGGUUCUUAGAGAGGGAGGAUCACCCUGUCAGCUGUGAGAGCUAUGAAUUGGUGGUUAACGGGUGCUUGGAUGUGGGUGAGUAUAUUUUGGCGGGGAAGGUGGUGAUUAGGAUGACGGAGAGAGGUUUUAUACCUUAUAUCAGGACCAGACUGAAGGUUGUUGAGAGGUUGGCUGGCGCUGGUGAAUGGGAGCUAGCUUGUUCUGUGAGGCAACGAUUUAGAGAAUUGAAGUCGUAGCUCCCUGUAUAUCUUUGAGGCCAUGGAUUCCACUUCUUUACGUUAAUGGGAGCUGGUACUCAGUCCAUUUGAAGUAUGGGUUCAAUGUUCCUUUUCUCUGCCACUAAGCAUCUUAAAAGUCUGUUGUCAUUUGAUGGGUAGCUAGCCUGCAUGGCAAUGCCGCAAGUACCUUCCUUAUCAGCCGAGUUGCGUGUUAUUCUUACAUAACCAGAUUCACCCCAGUCAAGACCCCAGGAAUUCUUCACAAUCCAGUACUUUUUACCACUAUCUUCUCCAUACCCCACUGCGGUGACUCCAUGGUUGAGAUUCUUUCCGCAAUAACCAGUGAAGAUACCUGAAGAAUAGAGUUGAAAACCAUAACUGCCAGCAUCGAUUGCAACAGAGACAGGUACCCUGUAAUCCUUCGUAGGGAUAAUCGUCUUCGGUGGAGAGUCCGUUAUCUUUUAUGAAACUAAACGCUUUCUCCAUGAAUCCACCACUACAGCCUUCGUUCCCAGAGUUGACAUCGCAGUCCACAAGUUCUUGCUCUGAUAGUGACACCAAGUUUCCAGUUUUGAUUUUGUUAAUUCCUUCAACAGCUGCUACGGCUGAGAAAGCCCAACAACUUCCUGCAUUGUAAGUGUAGUACUAUCAGACGUUGCUAAUUAAUAUGCUAUCAGCAGGCUGAACAUCAAGGACAUGUGAGUAUUAUCUACAACCCAACUUUUUAUCAUUGUUUAUAUAUCUUAAAGCAAAAACUGUAUUAAGCUUUGGCGUCU